rnacentral:rRNA from 1 species
GGCCAUACCAUGCUGAAUAUACCGGUUUUCGUUAGAUCACCGAAGUCAAGCAUCAUUGGGCGCGGUCAGUACUUGGGUGGGUGACCACCUGGAAACACCGCGUGCCG